rnacentral:rRNA from 1 species
CCUACGGGGGGCAGCAGUGAGGAAUAUUGGUCAAUGGACGAGAGUCUGAACCAGCCAAGUAGCGUGAAGGAUGACUGCCCUAUGGGUUGUAAACUUCUUUUAUAUGGGAAUAAAAUGUUCCACGUGUGGGAUUUUGUAUGUACCAUAUGAAUAAGGAUCGGCUAACUCCGGGCCAGCAGCCGCGGUAAUACGGAGGAGCCGAGCGUUAUCCGGAUUUAUUGGGUUUAAAGGGAGCGUAGGUGGAUUGUUAAGUCAGUUGUGAAAGUUUGCGGCUCAACCGUAAAAUUGCAGUUGAAACUGGCAGUCGUGAGUACAGUAGAGGUGGGCGGAAUUCGUGGUGUAGCGGUGAAAUGCUUAGAUAUCACGAAGAACUCCGAUUGCGAAGGCAGCUCACUGGACUGCAACUGACACUGAGGCUCGAAAGUGUGGGUAUCAAACAGGAUUAGAUACCCGUGUAGUC